rnacentral:rRNA from 1 species
UUUGAUCAUGGCUCAGAUUGAACGCUGGCGGCAGGCCUAACACAUGCAAGUCGAACGGUAACAGGAAACAGCUUGCUGUUUCGCUGACGAGUGGCGGACGGGUGAGUAAUGUCUGGGAAACUGCCUGAUGGAGGGGGAUAACUACUGGAAACGGUAGCUAAUACCGCAUAACGUCGCAAGACCAAAGAGGGGGACCUUCGGGCCUCUUGCCAUCGGAUGUGCCCAGAUGGGAUUAGCUAGUAGGUGGGGUAACGGCUCACCUAGGCGACGAUCCCUAGCUGGUCUGAGAGGAUGACCAGCCACACUGGAACUGAGACACGGUCCAGACUCCUACGGGAGGCAGCAGUGGGGAAUAUUGCACAAUGGGCGCAAGCCUGAUGCAGCCAUGCCGCGUGUAUGAAGAAGGCCUUCGGGUUGUAAAGUACUUUCAGCGGGGAGGAAGGGAGUAAAGUUAAUACCUUUGCUCAUUGACGUUACCCGCAGAAGAAGCACCGGCUAACUCCGUGCCAGCAGCCGCGGUAAUACGGAGGGUGCAAGCGUUAAUCGGAAUUACUGGGCGUAAAGCGCACGCAGGCGGUUUGUUAAGUCAGAUGUGAAAUCCCCGGGCUCAACCUGGGAACUGCAUCUGAUACUGGCAAGCUUGAGUCUCGUAGAGGGGGGUAGAAUUCCAGGUGUAGCGGUGAAAUGCGUAGAGAUCUGGAGGAAUACCGGUGGCGAAGGCGGCCCCCUGGACGAAGACUGACGCUCAGGUGCGAAAGCGUGGGGAGCAAACAGGAUUAGAUACCCUGGUAGUCCACGCCGUAAACGAUGUCGACUUGGAGGUUGUGCCCUUGAGGCGUGGCUUCCGGAGCUAACGCGUUAAGUCGACCGCCUGGGGAGUACGGCCGCAAGGUUAAAACUCAAAUGAAUUGACGGGGGCCCGCACAAGCGGUGGAGCAUGUGGUUUAAUUCGAUGCAACGCGAAGAACCUUACCUGGUCUUGACAUCCACGGAAGUUUUCAGAGAUGAGAAUGUGCCUUCGGGAACCGUGAGACAGGUGCUGCAUGGCUGUCGUCAGCUCGUGUUGUGAAAUGUUGGGUUAAGUCCCGCAACGAGCGCAACCCUUAUCCUUUGUUGCCAGCGGUCCGGCCGGGAACUCAAAGGAGACUGCCAGUGAUAAACUGGAGGAAGGUGGGGAUGACGUCAAGUCAUCAUGGCCCUUACGACCAGGGCUACACACGUGCUACAAUGGCGCAUACAAAGAGAAGCGACCUCGCGAGAGCAAGCGGACCUCAUAAAGUGCGUCGUAGUCCGGAUUGGAGUCUGCAACUCGACUCCAUGAAGUCGGAAUCGCUAGUAAUCGUGGAUCAGAAUGCCACGGUGAAUACGUUCCCGGGCCUUGUACACACCGCCCGUCACACCAUGGGAGUGGGUUGCAAAAGAAGUAGGUAGCUUAACCUUCGGGAGGGCGCUUACCACUUUGUGAUUCAUGACUGGGGUGAAGUCGUAACAAGGUAACCGUAGGGGAACCUGCGGUUGGAUCACCUCCUU